UACGGAGGUGGCAAGCGUUGCUCGGAAUCACUGGGCGUAAAGGGCGCGUAGGCGGGGAGGUAAGUCGGGUGUGAAAUCCCUCGGCCCAACCGAGGAACUGCGCCCGAGACUGCUUCUCUUGAGUCCCGGAGAGGAAGAUGGAAUUCCCGGUGUAGCGGUGAAAUGUGUAGAGAUCGGGAGGAACACCGAUGGCGAAGGCGGUCUUCUGGACGGUGACUGACGCUGAGGCGCGAAAGCGUGGGGAGCAAACGGG
rnacentral:rRNA from 1 species